GGUGGGGAGCUGGAGGGGGACAAAAGCUGCCAAAGAGCCAUUGUGUCUCAGUAAAAUGAGACAUUUCCUCUAUUGUGUGUGAAUGAGUCACUUAUGAAGGCAGCAACGUUGGAUAAAGGGAGACAUUUAUUUAAUUCUGAUUCCGGUCCAAAUUUGCAUCUGAAACAAUGAAAAGGCCUCAUUUGAUGUGACUGGACGCUGAGGAAUGGAAAGGAAAGAAAAGGAAAAGGACGCAAAAGAUGGGAGAGGAAACAAAACGCAUAGCAUAGGAAGACCAAGAGAAAGAGGAGGUCAGUGACUGUGACUGUUUAUAAAACAACUUCCAUCACCUCAGAGGGACUCGUAGGAGGAUAAACCCUCGGAUUACUCAUCUCUAUCUGAAAGUCAGCCUCCAAAUUUAGCCGACGCACCAAUCAAAACCUGGAGAAGAGAAGAAGACAGAUUAGGACAGUUGCAUUGUCAUGGAAACGUUAUUCAAACCUCGCUUUCAUUACAUUUUGAACGCAACAUCUAAAAAAAUCCCUUUAGUGUUCUCUUCGUUUCUCUACAACAGGUCUACUGAGGAUCACCCGAAGUUCACAUUUGUAUUGAAACAGGUUUGUUUGACAGA